rnacentral:lncRNA from 1 species
UCUGUUGCCAUCGACACAAACAGAAGUCCUAGGUGUGGAGGCAUGGCAGAGCUGUCAGAACACCUGGGGUCGACAUCCGACACUCUGUGUGAUUUUGGACAAGUUCCCACUCCUCUCGGAGCUGGUUCCUCAUCUGAAAAAUGAGGUUGCAAUACCUACCUCUGAGAUGGGGAGGGGAUCGAAUAAAAUAAGAGGUGUCAUAGCCCCGAGGAAGCGAGAAGUAAUUCCUUCAACAGCUACUCAGGAAGCACCUGGCACUGUUGCUGUCAAACAGGACGAAAAAAGGACCCGCCCUCUUGGAGUUUCCAUUCGAAGGGGGCAUUUGCACUGGAGUUAUUUGCCGGACCAGCUCUUCCUGAAGGAGCCUGUCUCUAUUUGUGAAACCACCAAGUUCCCCAUCACGUCAGAACCUCAGGAUCGUCUCUGACAGGAAGGUGAAAGUUCCCCUUCCCACUUUGUCCUCAAGUUCCUGACUAUUCUCCCACUUCCGGCAGGCUCUUGGGAUGGCCAGGGUAGGCGAAGCCAAGAAGUUCCUUUAUGAUCUGACCUUUUUGGUUCCUGCUUCUUGCCCAGUGCAGCCAUGGUAAAUACAUCUUCAUCAGGGCCUGGUCACUCAGCGAACCAGCCCUGGUCAGCAGCCUACAGAGGCCCCACCCUGCGCCAGCCCUUGGGGCAGACAUGCCCUGGGGGUGCUCAAGAUCUAACAGAGGUGUGAGGCUGAAACAGGUGAAAUAAGGAGGGGCAAACAAGUAUGCAAGGAAUUGUUUAAAUAGCAAGGCGGUUGGCUGGACUGAGCUCCUCGUGAAAGGAUGGGCAUAUUAAAUGGAUCCAAGGUCUAGUCUAUGACCAAGAUCAGAACUCAGUCUGGGGCUGGGUUUAUGCCUCAAUAUAUGGCCAGGAUCAGACCUCAGGCUGGGACCAAGGUUAGGGCUCAGAUUGUGACCAAGAUCAAGGCUCAGACUAUGACCAAGAUUAGGGCUCGGUCUGUGGCCAAGAUUACAGUCCAAAUGAGACCUGAGGUCCAAGGCCAUUCUCUGGCCAGAGCGAGGCUAAACUGUGGUCAGGAUCAUGGCUCAGUUU